AUGGCGACACAGGACGAACGAAGCAGGACGCGCGGGGGAAAGGAACCGGUGGAAGAUCUCCUGAGCCGCCUGGAACUCCAUGAGGAUGAGGAGGAACAGUUUGUUUGGGAUGAAGAAUUCGAGGAUGAGAAGAUCGAAGCCAAGUGGCUGGCGAUAGCGAAAGUGCACAUGAACAACGGUUUCAGCCCCUCGGCUCUGUAUGGUGAUAUGAGAUCAGCGUGGAACCCAGCCAGAGAUGUCCGUUGGCGCAGAAUAGAUGAGAACCUGUUUACGGUACAGUUUGGUUGCUUGGGUGAUUGG
rnacentral:rRNA from 1 species